rnacentral:tRNA from 1 species
UCCCUGGUGGCUCAGACGGUAAAGUGUCUGCCUGCAAUGCGGGAGACCCAGGUUCGAUCUCUGGGUUGGGAA